GGGUUGAUUUGGACCCUAUUGAUCGCCAGGGUUGAGUUGGCUGAUCCGGCUGGCUAGGUGGGUGAUCCCUUCCUCACUCACUGCCCCACGUGCAUCCCUCUUGAAGCUGCCUGCUAGGCUGAAGAGGACAACCAUCCCGAAUAGAGGAGGACAGGUCUCUGGUCAAGGGUAUAUGAGUAGCUGCAUUCCCCUGCUAGAACUUGCAAACAGGCUCUCAAGAAUUGUAGUAUUUUGCUUGAAGUCAUAUAGCUAGUAAGUUGGUGAAUGAAUUUGAAUGAGAUCUAAUUC
rnacentral:snRNA from 1 species